rnacentral:pre_miRNA from 1 species
CUAAUACUCCCUCCUUUCCAAAUUACUUGUCACAGAAAUGGAUGUAUCUAGAAUGAAAAUACAUCUAGAUACAUCCAUACCUGCGACAAGUAAUUCAGAACGAAGGGAGUAGUAG